GAGAGUAGGCUUCCGGGCAACCGGACGCAGAGACAGGUGCUGCAUGGCUGUCGUCAGCUCGUGCCGUGAGGUGUUGGGUUAAGUCCCGCAACGAGCGCAACCCUUGUCGUGUGUUGGUUCACAAGAUCUCUCACACGAGACCGCCGGUGACAAGCCGGAGGAAGGUGGGGAUGACGUCAAGUCAGCAUGGCCCUUACGUCCCGGGCCACACACGUGCUACAAUGGGGAGGACAACGAGCUGCAAACCCGCGAGGGUAAGCUAAUCUCUUAAACCUUUCCUCAGUUCGGAUUGAAGGCUGCAACUCGCCUUCAUGAAGUCGGAAUCGCUAGUAAACGCAGAUCAGCUACGCUGCGUUGAAUACGUUCCCGGGCCUUGUACACACCGCCCGUCACGUCACCUGAGUUUAGUGUACCCGAAGCCGCCCGUGCAACCGCAAGGGGCAAGGCGUCUAAGGUAUGCUAGAUAAGGGGGACGAAGUCGUAACAAGGUAGCCGUA
rnacentral:rRNA from 1 species